AGCCUUGUGGUGAGUACAAAGCGAACUAUUCUUUCGCCUUUUACUAAAGAAUACCGUGUAUUCAUCACAUGACGAGGCAUAUGUCAAUUUUUUUUUGAAGGAUUUCUUUCUUGGAAGAAAU
rfam:Cicer arietinum chromosome Ca7, whole genome shotgun sequence.